UCCUGCCAGAGAAAGUAGGAGGCAGAAGCCCUGUCCUUCCUGAUGAUUACAUUUCAAGAAAUGGCUUUCAGGUCCUUGAGAAAGUUACUCCUGAGUUGUAGAAAAUACAAAAGGACAGAGGAAGGAUUCAUAGUUAGUUGUAAGCCCUCUUCUAGUGAAUGUUCUAAGAAAGGGAGGUCAGAGGCCUAUCAUCAGGUGUUGUCUAGAACAAGCAGUAAAUUCUUUUGACGGCCCUGAGCUUUUCCAGAGAAGAACACCUUCAUCUCUCUCUUUCUCUCUCUCUCUCUUCCUCUCGCUCUCUCCCCUGCCUCCCUCUCUUUCUCUGUCUCUCUCUCCUCCCACUCCACUCCCCCACUCUCUUAUUCCCUCUACUGUUAUCUGACAGGAUGAAGUCUAGAAAACAGAAACUACCACUGUGCCGGAAUGCUGAAACGAAGAAGCUGUCACUGCAGCCAGCGUGUCUGCCUUGCAACACUAGGGACGUAAGAAAGUGGAUUCCUAAAGCUAGAAGCUCGGCAUUAACUCUUGACAUCCAAGAAGCUGCAAAGAGGAUGCUGGAAGUUAGCUGCAGGAACACCUCAUGUUUCCACAACAUUGUUUGGAGAGAGCACAAGCAGAGGGAGCGACAGGCAGAGGGAGAGGAAGCAGCAGGCUCCCGCUG